rnacentral:lncRNA from 1 species
GUAAUUUCAGUUUAUAUAAUAAAACUUGUCAGAAUGAAAAUGGAAUCAUUUGUGUAAAACCCUGGCAAAUGGAAGGCCUUGAAAGGAGGGUUGUCACGCAUGUAUGCCUAAUAACAAGAACUAUCACAAAAGAUAGCAAAAAACAUGACCUUACACAGAGGCUACUUCAACCUCAUACAAAAAAUACUUCUGUGAAAAAUAAAAAUACUUCUGUGAGCACAUGUGCUGAGCAACUGCCUGUCCAACCUUGGACUGACACCAUCCUCGUUAUUGGUCUCUGUAGGCAAAGAUAAUUGUUUCAAAAUAGUUAUGUAAUCCCCCUCAUUUUUCACUGAAAAACCCUUUUACCUCCCAGAACAUGCUCCCUGUAUUCCCAUUGCAAGGCUCAAUCCCCAAAACUAUCAUUUUCUUUUAUAGAGUCUCUCUCUGCCUGUUAUUUAGGUUGACAUAAUCUGGUGUCAAGAAGUGGGACCAAAGUGAGCUCACCUUGAUGGAUCGGUGACUCCUGGAAUCACAUGAAGUUCCCACAUUGAGCCCCUUUGAGCUCUCCAAUCCUACAGCUCACCUUUUCUGUCAUGGUGAAUCUCCUCUCAGGUUCUUGAACUCCCUCAUUUUGGUGAGUUCUUUUGACUUUCUUUGGGAUUUGUUUUGGAUAAUGGCUGCCUUAAUAAAGGACCUUGUAUCUCUCUUGAGACUAGAAAAUACAUUUUUUCUGACAAAUCCUUUCUGGUACAAAGAUAUUUUAUCUUUCUGGAGAGUAUACACUUCUGAUUUCUAUAAAAUUUACCUCAUGUAUUUUCUGGUGAGUUCUUUUUUUUUUCUUUUUGCAUGCCUUCGCAGCCAUUAUACAAUUCAGUGAGUCCUAGCUGAAAUGUAAAAACACCUGAGAAACUAACCACUAAAUUUGAGGCUUUAAAAAAAAAAGGUUCUUCAGUUUUGAGACCUGGACUGGGUUUCCUUGCUCCUCAAGUUUGCAGACAGCCUAUUGUUGGACCUUGUGAUCAUGUAAGUUAAUACUUAAUAAACUCCCCUAUAUAUCUAUAAACAUAUAUAUAUAUGUAUGUAUGUUACGUAUGUAUGUAUGUAUGUAUGUAUCCUAUUACUCUGUCCCUCUAGGGAACCCUGACUGAUACAGUUUAUGUCACUUUUUUUUUUUUUGAGAUGGAGUUUUGCUCUUGUCCAGGCUGGAGUGCAAUGGCACGAUCUCUGCUCACUGCAACCUUUGUCUCCCAGGUUCAAGUGAUUCUCCUGCCUCAGCUUCCUGAGUAACUGGGAUUACAGGCAAGCGCCACCAUGCCUGGCUAAUUUUGUAUUUUUAGUAGAGACAGGGUUUCACCAUGUUGAUCGGACUGGUCUCGAACUCCCAACCUCAGGUAAUCUUCCCACCUCAGCCUCCCAAAGUGCUGGGAUUACAGGCAUGAGCCACCACACCCGGCCUACUUUUUUUUUUUUUUAAGGCAGGAUCUUGCUCUGUUUCCCAGUCUGGAGUGCAGUGACACGAUCAUGACUCACUGCAGCCUCAACCUCUCAGACUCAAGCAAUCCUCUCACCUCAGCCUCCCAAAUAGAUGGGACUUUUUUUUUCUUUUUAAUUUUUUUAUAGAGAUAGGGUUUCACUAUGUUGCCCAGGCUACUCUCAACCUCCUGGGCUCAAGUGAUCCUCCCACCUUAGCCUCCCAAAGUGUCAGGAUUACAGGCAUGAACCAUCCUGCCCAGCCUAUUUUUGUGCAACUUUUUGAUGAAUAAGACUAGUUUAAUAUUGUUACUUUAGUGAAAACAGCUGUAUCUUCUAAGUAAUCAAUAAAAUAUCCAUGUACUUUAAGGUUCUUAAUGUGAACAUCUAACAUUCACAUGCUGUAAAAAUGGCUAACAGAAAGGUAACUUGAAAUAAUGAUUAGCUCUGUGUAAUAUCUGUUUUCAUAAGUAAUCUAGGUAUAAUGGUUAAAAAAUAAAUUAGGUAAAUGAAAAGGGAAUAAGUAUGUAUAAAUGAACUUUUCAUAUGAUUUGAGAUCUUAAAGUUAUGUUAAAUAAGUAAUAGUUAUUCAUUAAAUGUCUGGGUCAUAGCCAAAUAAGAUAAAAUAUGAAAACAUUAAUUACUGAACAUAGAUUCAAAUUAAUUUACUUUUGGCUUUUUUUUUUUCUUUUUUGAGACAAAGUUUCACUCUUGUCCCCCAGGCUGGAGUGCAAUGGCACAAUCUCGGCUCACUGCAACCUCCCCCUUACAGGUUCAAGCAAUUCUGCCUCAGCCUCCCAAGAAGCUGGGAUUACAGGCGCCUGCCACCACACCCAGCUAAUUUUUGUAUUUUUAGUAGACAGGGUUUCACCAUGUUGGCCAGGCUGGUCUCGAACUCCUGACCUCAGGUGAUCUGCCCGCCUUGGCCUCCCAAAGUGCUGAGAUUACAGGCAUGAGCACCAUGCCCGGCCUUCUUUUUUUUUUUUUUAGGCAGGGUCUCACUCUCACCCAGGCUGGAAUGCAUGAUCACAGCUCACUGCAACCUCUACCUCCCAGGCUUGAGCAGAUCCUCCCAGCUUAGCCUCCCCAGUAGCUAGGUCUACAGGUGUGAACCACCAUGCCCAGCUAAUUUUUUGAUUUUUUUUUUUUUUUUUUUUUUUUUUGAGCCAGAGUUGCGCUCUUGUUACCUGGGCUGGAGUGUAAUGGCGCAAUCUCAGCUAACUGCAUUCUUCGCCUCCCAGGUUCAAGCGAUUCUCCUGCCUCAGCCUCCCGAGAUUCUCCUGCCUCAGCCUCCCGAGUAGCUGGAAUUACAGGCAUGCGCCACCAUGCCCAGCCUUUGAUUUUUUUUUUUUAAGAGAUGGGGUCUCUGUAUGUUGCCCAGGCUUGUCUUGAACUCCUGGGCUCAAGCGGUCCUCUCACCUCAGCCUCCCCAAGUGCUAGGAUUACAGGCAGGAGACACCACACCUGGCCUACUUUUGGCUUCUUAAGUUUUAAAGAAAGAGAAAAGCUAUUUGGGCUUAUUAAUAAAUACGUUCUGUUUCACAUUGGAAAAUUGUUCUAUGAGAAAGCACAUGUUUCUAGAGAUUAUGAAAUACAUAUUCAUAGGAGGUUGAUGUAUGUCAGAUAGUUCAGAGUUUGCUUGCUUCCUGGGCUUUCACUAGAAAUUAGGGUUACUGAGAGUUAAAAAUUCUAAUUAAUGUAUGUGAUUCUGCAUGCAAGAUAUAUAAGAAAUUGUGUUUUUGAUGAGAAAAACUUUGAAGAUGAGAAUUUUUUUAAAGAAAAGAAUAGUUUUGUCUAAAUUCAGAGGUUAUUUAAGGUUAUUUUAAAAGUAAAUUUAGAAAGAAGAUAGCAGCAAGACAGAAAGGAACCAGUAGGAAGAAGAGAGGCUUGCAUAGAAAGUUAUAGGUAUGAAGAUGUAUUUUUGGAAAGGGAGGUUAAAAAGAGAAGAGGUUUUUUUUUUUGGUAUGAGAGAGAAUCUCAAGUGGUCAAAAUCAAAAGAAAAAAAGUAAAUUGUGUCCUAAAGUAAAAUGACUGGUUGUUAAAGAAAGAGCAACUAUAAAUAGGACAAAACCAAAAGUCUGGGCAGGUCACAGACAGUCUGAGCUAGUUGUAAAAGGUUUGUGAAAGAUGACUCUUACGAAAGAAAUUUUGUGUGUGAUAAAGUUGGCUAAAAUUACACUUGGUUUUAGCCAAAAGGCUGAGAAGCGAUGAAGUUGGCUAAAAUUAGAAGAGAAUUAUUUAUAAAUAUUUCUAAAGAUUUAGAUUUAAUUAUAUGUAUAAUUAAAUAAAAACAGCUACAUAUGUAUACAUAUAU